UGAAUAUACUCAACACAUCACUUAAAUCUUUCAACUUGACAUCUUUCAGUUUCAACCCCAACUCAGCACUAGUUUUUUUUUAUUAUCGUCUCGAUCUUCGUGCUUCUCAAUAAUAUGGAACUUAUAGUCAUUCACUAAAUUAUCCAUUUCAACCAUAGCAAAAUACUGCUUCUUCCUAACAUCUUUAAAUUCUUCUGCACUGUGUCACGGUCAGCUACCACAGUUAUCAAAAAGAAAAAUAUGCAUAUAAAGGAAACGGAAAAGGGUCAGAUUUGUCCAUGUACUUAAAAAAAAUUAUAUUUACCCUUCGUUAUACUUUUCAACAUAUUUGUCCUUGCAUACCAUAUUUACCCCUCAGCAAACACUAAAUUGCAGAUUGAGGAAAUGAACAAGAAACUUAAAGAUUUGGAGUCGCUGAAUCAAGCUCUUCUUAUAAAGGAAAGAUUUUGAAAUGACGAGGUGCAGGACACACGGUGUUUGCUAAUCGAUGACCACACAAGAAGAUAAAAGAGCGAGAAACAAGAAAAAAUGGAAGAAACCUCACCUGAUGAGAUGCACAAUUAAAGCUUCACCGCGCAACUCAAAGCACAGCAAGGGCAAUACUUCUGUCAAAUUUGCGCUCUCAGCUCCCAGGUGUGUUACAUCGCACUUUCCUAAUAGUAAAUAUUUAAUUGAGGACAGUUUUAGAAAUUCAUCGUCAUACCCCUUUGACCUAUAUAAUCCCCAAAAAAGGCGGGACUGACUGAGGAGGUGCCAAAUAUCUAAUGACAAUGUACUUCAAUGAAAUCCUACCAAACCAUCCAGGUGCUAGUUUCGUGAAGGUUUCUUUCAUCCUAAUAUCUAUCCAUUAGAAACAAUAUGUAUGCCUAUCCUCGAUGAGGAAAGGGAUUGGAACUCUGACGUUAGCAUUAAACAAUUUUGGCGGGUAUCCAAGAAUUGCUUGAUUGGCCAAACUCCGACGAUCCAGCACAAAGUUCAUGUUACGAGCUAUACAUCAAUGAUCAUAAUGCAUGCAAGGGCCGAGUGAGACAGCAGGCCCAUAAUUAUACAUAUAAUUAGCUGGAGUAUUGGUUGAGUGAGUUCGUAUUGACCUUAUUCCGGAGAUUGUUGUGAGCUGCUGGUUGUUCCAUAGCACCCUCCUUCUUCUAUCAUUUUUAGUAUUAUGUUUUUUCUUUAGUAUUCGGACAAUGUAUUCGCAAUUUCAGACUUGUAUUCCUAUUAUUAGAGGCUCUUGUAUUUAUGACACCAA